UGGGGGAUAUUGCACAAUGGGCGCAAGCCUGAUGCAGCGACGCCGCGUGGGGGAUGAAGGCCUUCGGGUUGUAAACUUCUUUUGCUCUGAACAAGGCGCACUUUGGGGUGUGUUGAGUGUAGGGGUUGAUUAGCGCCGGCUAACUACGUGCCAGCAGCCGCGGUAAUACGUAGGGCGCGAGCGUUGUCCGGAAUUAUUGGGCGUAAAGGGCUUGUAGGUGGCUGGUUGCGUCUGUCGUGAAAGCUCAUGGCUUAACUGUGGGUUUGCGGUGGGUACGGGCUGGCUUGAGUGCAGUAGGGGAGGCUGGAAUUCCUGGUGUAGCGGUGGAAUGCGCAGAUAUCAGGAGGAAUACCGGUGGCGAAGGCGGGGCUCUGGGCUGUUACUGACACUGAGGAGCGAAAGCAUGGGGAGCGAACAGG
rnacentral:rRNA from 1 species